ACAUGUAAAAAUCUCACAACUUGUCCACAAAAUGUGUUCGCAACAGGCUUGUAGCACGCUUGUCAACAAGUUGUAACAAUGCUGUUAUUUUAUGAAGUUGCUACAAGGUUGUCACUCACAACUUGUUGACAAAUUGUUGAAUUGCAGAACGAUAACAAGUUGUUGGAACAACUUGUAACAAGUCUGUUGAGUUCAACAACCUUGUAGCAAGUUGUCAACAAGCUGGGAACAAGCAGUGAGAACACAUCCUGCUGACA